UACAUGGGGUGCAAACGUUGCUCGGAAUUAUUGGGCGUAAAGCGCACGUAGGCGGUUUGUUAAGUCGGAUGUGAAAUCCCUCGGCUCAACUGAGGAAGUGCAUCCGAAACUGGCAAGCUUGAGUACGAAAGAGGGUCGCGGAAUUCCCGGUGUAGAGGUGAAAUUCGUAGAUAUCGGGAGGAACACCGGUGGCGAAGGCAGGUCUCUGGGCUGACACUGACGCUCAUGCACGAAAGCGUGGGGAGCAAACAGG
rnacentral:rRNA from 1 species